rnacentral:lncRNA from 1 species
CCGAACAGUCACUAAGUGAACGCGUAAACUGUGGAAGCAGAAAUUUUAUUCCCGCUAAGAGCUUUCGUACAGGCUCAUUGGAGGAGUAAUAGAAGCCAGUAUCUAUGAAUUGGCAUCGGCAAGCACCGUGUGUGUUGCGCCAGCUGCAGCAGCACAGCCUUGGACAUGCAAAACUGCAACGAGAGAGAACGAACGACUGCCACCACCCACGCCAUCCGCCUGUACGAGUCGAAAUUGCACCGCGGAAAAUUGGAUAAUGUCGCGACCGCUGCCGCUGCCGACGCCGCGCCGCCACAGCCGCGUAGACAUAAACGUCGAUCAUUGGGCAACAUCGUUGCGGACCAUUGCGUAUUAUGGACGGAUUUUGCAAAUUUUCUAGCAUUUUGCAGUGAGCUGGGACGUUCCGCUCCGUCUCGUUUCGCUUCGUUCCGUGGCAUGCCGUUCAGUUCCGUUUCGACGCUGCAACGAGCCGGUAACGAGCGAAAUGCCGGGCAUUCCCGAAAUUCUUAGCUUUAUCGCGCGAUUAACGGUGGUCGGGAAAUGAAGCGCACGGAAUUUUCGCGAACAAUGAUCUUUGCGUCAGCCGAGCGCGGAAUUAAUUAUCGAUAACGCAUGGACAUAUCGUUAACUAAAAUUUCGGAGUCACUUUGCGGUUUCUCUCGUUUCUUGCUGUUGGAAAGCAAUUUUUGUAUACCAUGGAUAAGUCAAAAGUUCGUGUUAUUUUCGAACAUGAGUUCCGUCGCGGAUCCAAUGCAGCGCAGACAAAUCGAAAUAUCAACGAAGUGUUUGGUGAAGAUGUGGCUAAUGAACACACAGUACGUCGAUGAUUUGAGAAGUUUCGUUCUAACGAUUUUAAUCUUGAAAAUGAGUCACAUGGGCGACUUGAAACCAAGGUAGAUAAUGAUAGACUAAAAGCUAUAGUGAAAGCAGAUACAUCUUAAACUACGAGUGAAUUAGCAGCAAAUUUUAACGUUACUAUUCCAACAAUAUUGGACUAUUUGAAAUAAAUCGGCAAAAUAAAGAAGUUGGGUGGAUGGAUUCCGCAUAAAUCAAACGAGCGUCAGAAGAGAAAUUGUCUCAAAGCUUAUCUUUCUUUACUAUCACAUAAAGGCGAACUAUUUUUACAUCGUAUUGUUAUGUGUGAUGAGAAAUGGAUUCUUUUCGACAAUCGCAAGCGCUUGACAUAAUAAUUGAUUAUAGAUGAAAUGCCAAAACCGAAUAUUCACAAAAGAAAGCUAAUGAUAUCUGUUUGGUGGUCCAGCGCUGAUCCAUCACAACUUCAUGAAACCUGGCCAAUCGAUUACAGCGGAUGUCUGUAACCAACUGGAUGAAAUGAUGAGGAUACUUGUGAUUAAACAGCCGAAAUUGGUCAAUAGAAACAGGCAAUACUCUUGCACGACAACGCUCGACCACAUGUCACACAAAUAAUGCUGCUCAAACUACAGGAGCUGGACUUGGAAACUCUCUGUCACCCACCGUAUUCACCAGACCUUGCACCAACUGACUAUCAGUUCUUUCAGACACUGGACCACUUCUUUUAAGGAAAAGUAUUCAACUCUCAACGAGCUGUGGAAAACGCUUUCCGCGAUUUCUUCGCCACCCGUUCUUCAGGCUUUUUCGUUGUUGGCAUAAAUAAGCUAUCGUUAAGGUGGCAAAACUGUGUCAAUAGUUUAGGUGCACACUUUGAUUAAUUGUAUUAUUUCUAAUUUAAGAGAUAAUAA